UUAGGAAUCUUCCACAAUGGGCGAAAGCCUGAUGGAGCGACGCCGCGUGAGGGAUGAAGGUUUUCGGAUCGUAAACCUCUGAAUCAGGGACGAAAGACACUUCGGUGGGAUGACGGUACCUGAGUAAUAGCACCGGCUAACUCCGUGCCAGCAGCCGCAGUAAUACGGAGGGUGCAAGCGUUACCCGGAAUCACUGGGCGUAAAGGGCGUGUAGGCGGAUCAGUAAGUCUGGUUUUAAAGACUGCGGCUCAACCGCAGGGAUGGACUGGAUACUGUUGAUCUUGACCUCUGGAGAGGAAACCGGAAUUCCUGGUGUAGCGGUGGAAUGCGUAGAUACCAGGAGGAACACCAAUGGCGAAGGCAGGUUUCUGGACAGAAGGUGACGCUGAGGCGCGAAAGUGUGGGGAGCGAACCGG
rnacentral:rRNA from 1 species